rnacentral:rRNA from 2 species
GCUUGCUGGGUGGAUUAGUGGCGAACGGGUGAGUAACACGUGAGUAACCUGCCCUUGACUCUGGGAUAAGCCUGGGAAACUGGGUCUAAUACUGGAUAUGACUGCUCCGCGCAUGCGGUGGUGGUGGAAAGCUUUUGCGGUUUUGGAUGGACUCGCGGCCUAUCAGCUUGUUGGUGGGGUAAUGGCCUACCAAGGCGACGACGGGUAGCCGGCCUGAGAGGGUGACCGGCCACACUGGGACUGAGACACGGCCCAGACUCCUACGGGAGGCAGCAGUGGGGAAUAUUGCACAAUGGGCGCAAGCCUGAUGCAGCGACGCCGCGUGAGGGAUGACGGCCUUCGGGUUGUAAACCUCUUUCAGUAGGGAAGAAGCUUUCGGGUGACGGUACCUGCAGAAGAAGCGCCGGCUAACUACGUGCCAGCAGCCGCGGUAAUACGUAGGGCGCAAGCGUUAUCCGGAAUUAUUGGGCGUAAAGAGCUCGUAGGCGGUUUGUCGCGUCUGCUGUGAAAGACCGGGGCUCAACUCCGGUUCUGCAGUGGGUACGGGCAGACUAGAGUGAUGUAGGGAGACUGGAAAUUCCUGGUGUAGCGGUGAAAUGCGCAGAUAU